CCACUGCAUGGGGCGUAGGAUUUUUUUCUUGGCCUAUACAACCCAUUAACAGUCGCGUAAGGAGCGCCCUCUCGCGAUGGCCACGUAGACACUGGACCCCGCGAGGACCGACCCAUCUCUCUCGUCCUCACCCCGCACCCCGUUCCCUAAAUUCUUCUCCUCUCCCUCGUUUGCCGCCGCCACCCCCACAGCCGUCACCGCCGCCGCCACCAGCGACUUCAAUCACAGCCUGCGCCCCACCCCUUCUCUCCUCUCGACCACCAGGCGACCUCCUUGCCUCCCCUUCCGCCCAGAUCGAGAAGCAGAUCGGGAUCCACGGCCACGGCGGCAUGAGCGCCCCGAUUUAGGUUUAAGCCGCGUGACGAGGGUGCUCUCUGCAGCGCUAACCCAAGUGCCGACGUCACGGACAAGGUUCGUGAAGCAUCUUUGCCCGUGGAAACCGAGACCGUCUGGUUUUCUUCAUCUCCCUAUGUGAUGGGUGCCAUCAGCUUUUGUGCAUGUUUCAUGGAGAGGAGAAGCCGCUCCAAUUCCAUCUCCUGAAGGAGGAUGCCCACCAUCCAAGGUGCUCAACAUCACAUCCAUCUAUUGCCUGCCAAGAGCGAAGAUGUCUAUCUGAUAGGCAAAGCAGACAUAUCAAAGCUUCUUGUACGUAUUCGGGAGGAUGCCUGUUGUGACGAUGAUCAGACUGGUAGCGCACGUUUACGGACACCAGUGGGCAGAACAGCAGAAGUCACAACAUUGGACGCAAACGCAAUCGGCAACGGCGACCAGACAUGCAGUGACCCGACGAUUGGCGACGUCUGCAGUACUGGGCGAGUGACGAAUGACUGACAGUGACGAUUCAAUUGAUCUGGUGGAUUCAGGGAUAGUUGGCUAUCGGCGUCCAUGACACCCGCGGCACGUCCCCCGCCAUCGACCAAAUCGACAACUACGACGGCUUCAUGAUCUUGCUCACAUGAUGUGUGGAUGCGCCCCUAGAACUUGGUGGCAUCGUGACGUCCUCCAUAGUCCACUCCACACCACAGGCACCCGUCUGCCCGUUGGCCUGAAAUCCCACUUCUGAUCUUCUCUGAAACCAAAGGACGGACUGUUGAAGAAGCCCAAAGGCAGCACUGCCGGACCUAGGGGAAGGCGUUGCGGCUGGGUCGUCUAACAUGGAGUGGGGCAACGUUCUUGUAGCUGCCACCUCAUCUUCUAUGGAGCCUGCAUGAUUUUAAUUGGAGGGAAGAUGGGUGUUUUCAUCUGUGGCGUAGUAUAUACCUGGCGUUCAUCUUCAGGGCAUAGCGUGGCUGGUUCUGGUGCCAGCGAGUUGACGCUCAAACGCCGUCCAGUUAUUAGAUAACGAGGAGUUACGGCCGGGGAUCGCGGCACGUCCUCGCCUGUCUCGCUCAAGGACUGCAGAGAUGGAGAGUCUAUGUCAGGCUCCUCCUCCUUGUAUGGUAGGUGGUGCGGUGGUGGUCGCACAGCUAAGAUAUCCAUGGAGGGCAAGAUCUCCGUUGGGUGAACGCUUGAGCAUGUAUUGGAGGGAGAUGGGACUCCACCGUUCAUCCAUUUUACAGCGGAUGGAUAUUUAUUUAUGAGUAUGACCCAUGUACAGCUCAGUUACAGAAGAUGAAGAUGAAGGGAUGCGUAUGGAGGAGAAAUUAAAUCACAGUAUCACAUUCACGGCAGGAAAACAGAAUGCAGGACCGUGAUAGCUUAUAUGGCAAUGAUGCUGAUGCAGGACCAUGAAAGCUGAUGCGGCAUGAUGGUGAUGUGGAUAAUGUGCAUGUUAAGAAAAUUGUUAGUAGUGGGGAUCAACUUCUUAAGAUUGUAGGAUGAUGGAAUCGGGAAGUACUUGUGCAUUAAAUGAAGUGCUAAUCAUUUUUAGUUAGAUGGCUAUUGUGUUCUUUGUUUACCCAUUGUUGAUUAUACUUACAGGGCCUAGAUCAAUGUAAAGCUGUGGGAUGCGCAGCAGAAGGAUUUGAAUGCUGGAAAUAAGAGGGUGAGAUGGAUAGAUAGAGAACCUUAUGCUUACUGGAAAGGGAAUCCAGAGAUCGCAACUAUAAGGCAAGAGCUUAUCAAGUGUGAUGUUUCCAGUAAACAAGAAUGAAAUACACGGAUCUACAAACAGGAUUGGAUCAAAGAGAGCAAGGCAGGAUACAAGAAAUCAUAUUUGGCCAGUCUAUGCACCCAUAGGUACAAGAUCUACAUUGAAGGAUCAACAUGGCCAGUUAGUGAGAAGUAUAUCAUAGCUUGUGAUUAAACCAAAAUACUGCGAUUUCUUUUCAAGGGUGUUGAUGCCCACUCAGCAUUAUUGGCCAGUUCGAGAUGAUAGGUUAUAGCAUGUUCAGUUCAUCAUUGAGAUAUCUCCUCUGGUUACCUUUUUUCAUUGUGCUAUGUGCAUCUAGCUGGUGGCCACCAGCUAAAAAGGCACUCUUGGUUCUGUAUAUAAUAUCACCGUUCACUGAUACUACUAAUACUGGAGGCACAUGAGUUUGGAACACUCCUGUAGAAUGCCAUCACGGCCGCUUGCCUAUCGGGAGUUUCGUGCGUCGUAGGCAAUCUUCCUGUCCUUGUUCCCCACUGUCUCUAACGGAAUUCUCCCUCUAGAUCUCAAUUCUUUGAGCACAUGGAGAUGUCUUGAUUAUCAAUGCUUUAGUCUAUGCCACUGUUGUUUUUAACAUACUGACUGGCCGUAUCCUACUAUGACUUCAGUUGACACAUUGUGACCAUCCUCCAUAAGUAUUUUGUAGACCCAGGCUUAAAUAUAAAAUGUCCUACUCUAUAACAAUGUUGCUCGUCUACUCUAGGAUCACGCUAAUUGCUAAGUAGUUGAUGAAUAGAUAAAUUAUAUAUCUAAUAUGUCAUCUGCUGCUUGAUAUUUGUUGUUGAACUAAUUAGUACUGAUGUGCCUUCAAGUUCUGAUGCAAUUUAGAACAUCUCUCAUUAAGCAAAAGUCUUGUUGACGCUAAUUUUUUUUGUAGCUCUGAAUUUAGUAAUCAUUUGCCCUCAGCAGCGUGUUGAUGAUUUGGCAAGAUGUCUAGCUAUCUAACAUAUAGUAUUACUUUUCCUCUUUACAAACUCAAAGUUGUUGGUCUUGUUGUCUUACUGACUAGAAGCAAUAAUACACAUUUGCCUGGUGAUGUGACUUGGUAUUCUGAUAGACGGGGUCGCGUGUAAUAGAAUUGAUGCAUAUAGUUUGAAUGCACUGACCUAUUCUGCUGCUUUCCCAUUUUUUGUGCGUAUGAUAUUGUAGCACUAGCAUGUUUCAUUUGGAUCAGUGAGAUACACAUUCUCUCUUUCCAUCUUUAAUAUGUAAUUCGGUGUGUUACUUUGCCUUUUCUAUUGCCAAUACAAAAGUAUUAGAACUUAAUUUAUUUGCCUUACAUAAGAUGGCAUUGUCUUUUUGAGUGCUGGGAUUCAAAUAUGGUUACUCCCUCCUUCCAUCUAUAUAGGGCCUAAUGUGUUUUUGAGGGUAACUUUGACCAAAUGUUAGAGCAAUAAUAUAUGACAUGCAAGUUACAUAAAGCAUAUCGUCAAAUUCGUACGGGAAAGGAGCUUUCAAUGAUAUAAUUUUCAUGUUAUACAUCUCAUGAAUUAUUAGUUCUAUCAAUAGUCAAAGGCGGUCUUGAAAAACGCAUUAGGCCCUAUAUAGAUGGACAGAGGGAGUAGUACUGUGUUUUCAUGGUCAUUCAAGUUGGGUGCUGAGUGGACACUAUGGUAAGCUUAAUUAAAUAACUAUGAGUACUAUGUAAAUUGUAGUUCAACAAUUACUUAGUCACUACUAUGUAAAUUGUGGUUCAACGGAUACUCCAUUUGUAAAUGCGUCAAAACUUCCCUUCGAAAUUCGUAUCCUCAAGUUUCAAAGCAUUUGAUUUGUGAAGCAUAGGUCGAUUGCCAUAUGACUGAGAAAAACAUGAUCCAUUUUUGUACAAAGCUAUAUGCAUAGUAGUCAUAUGAGACGAUAAUAAAUACGGCAGUACGAUUAGUGCGCACAGUCUCGCCUCAAGAGACGCGCCUGGGGCGCGUCCCAACCACUAGUAUUUUUCAAAAAUUGUUUGGCCUGGGGCACAUCCCACUUCCAAGCCUAGGAAGCCCAGGCCAGCUAUCCCAGCUGCCCGACGCCUUGUUGCGUGCUUCCUGCCUGCACAAACAGAAGCACGGGCGAACCAACCAGCCGCCUCUGCUUUCCCCGAUUUGGACGAACCCUAGGCCACCAGAAACAGCCGUCCCUGGCUCCAGCGCCGCCUGCCGCCGCCACCUGCCGGCCACCUUGUUCCAGUAUGUUGCCCGCCCCUUCCCUUCGAGUUGCACCACUGCGGGCUGCUGCUCUAUCCCGUCGUCAGGUUGCGUAGCUGCGGGUUGCUGCUCUGUCUGGUGAGGCACGGAGGUGGCGACUCAGGCGAGGCUUGGCGUCCCGCGAGGUGCUCGAUCCUUUCUGUUUGGCGUCCGGUGAGGUGGUUAUUUGCCAGGAGCCGAACCGCAGCACAGAGGAGUGAACCAUCAACUAACUUCACAUGAGAUACAAUUGGAUUUUUGGAAGGCUUGUGCACAAGAGACCACCGAAGUCAUUAUUGAGGAGACUAGAAAUAGGGAAUUUGCUUUACUUGUUGAUGAGUCCAGAGAUGCAUCUAUGAAGGAGCAAAUGGCUAUGUGCUUGAGGUAACUCGACAAAUGAGGGGAGGUGAUUGAAAGAUUCAUGUCAGUUGAGCAUGUUCCCGACAUAAGAUCAAAUUCACUGAAGUGGAAAGGGCAUUCUCAGCAAUGGGCAUUAUCAAGACUGGAUUGAGGAACAAAAUGGGUGAUGAUUGGAUGAGUCAUAGAAUUUUACAUUGAGCGAGAUGUACUUGUGAAUAUUGAAGAAUCAAAGAUCGUUGAGCGAUUUCAAGGUUGUCGCAAUCGUAAAUGCCUUUUGCAUCGUCCUAGAUGUUUAGCUUCUUUAGCUAUUGAAGAUGUAGUCAUGGGAGUCUCAGAUCAACAAAACCUUUGAUUUGGUAUUAAUCUUUUGUAUCAUCUAUAUAUGCUACAUUUUGUCUUUUGAUUUAUCUUGCUUUAGUUGACCCAUCAUGGAACAAAUGAUGUCACUGAAUAUUAUGUUUGGUGUACUAUUAGUUAUGCAACA